AUGAAGAGUAAAAAGAACUCACCAGUGUCCAGAAAGGCUAGCAGCCAAGCUGUAAACAAAGAGAAAUCUCCCACCAUUCAGAAAGUUGGCAGCUUAGCUCUGAAGCAUAAAGAGAUUUCCAAGAUCUUACUGGGCUUCGGAGUGAAAACUGCUGAAAACCAACAGAAAUAUGAGCUCAUCCUGGGCUGGUAAGCUACAGGCCAUGACAUCCACAGAGCACUGUGCUGAUCCAUGAGUAAUAUAGCUGGGAGGCCCCCAACCCCAUCCACCUCACUGUGGACCCAAGCCUCCAGAACGGCCGCAUGAGCAUCAAAGCCUAUGUUAGCACUUUAAUGGGUGCUCCUGGGAGGACCAUGGGAGUGAUGUUCGCACUUCUGACAGUGAAAUACACAUACUAUGACACUGAACACAUUGGAGUUGGCCUGACUAUGAAAGCCUCCUUUAGCCCCAACCGAGUGACUGGACUUUCAGCGACUUGCAGCAAGUAGGAGGGGCAUCAGCUCACAUCCAAGAUGCCUCGAACACAGUGUUGCAAUAUGCAAAGGAUGUACUGUCUGCAAACGUGCCAGCUGACAAUACUGUGGGCCGCUUCCUGAUGAGCCUGGUUAACCAAGCACCCAAAAUAGUUCCCAAUGACUUCAAGACCAUACUCAACAGCAACAUCAAUGACCUACCUGGCCAACCUCAGACAGUCACAGAUUGCCCUCAAACAGAAACUUGUAAACCUGUGAAUUGACCCCAAUCAGAACACCUGCCGGUCUAGGUCUCAACCCCAGGACUCAGAAGUGAAGGAGAAAUGGUUUUUUUGUGGUCUUGAGUCACACUGAGACAGUCAACUGCUUGUGACUCUAAUAAACAUAGCCUACCUUUUGUAAA